rnacentral:lncRNA from 1 species
CAUGCAUCUCACAACAGAAACAGUACUGCACUAAUGUUAUGGCUGUAAGUGCACCUGGAGUAUUCAUGCUAGACAAUAUCUUUAUUGGCUUUAACUUGGAAAAUUAAAGCAGUUUAAGAAAUGACUUAAUUGCCAGAAGAGUUGCCAUGGAGAGAAGACGGCGAUCAAACAACCAUCUAAUUUUGCAGCUAUCUAUGCAAAGAGGAUGUCUUCGCAAUCAGACUUCAUGACUUUGUAACUAGCGCUUGUGAACACACUAAAAGAGUAGCAUUUAUCUCUACCGCCAAAAGAAAGAAAGAAGAGAAAUAAAGAGAGAAAGGCUUCAUAAGUUAAUCUUUUUUAUUAUUUUGGAGGGGGGAGUAGGUUCUGAAAUUCUCAAAAUUAUCUGUCUUGGUAUUUUCUAAUCAAAAUAUUAUAUCCUGCACAUUCUUUUUAGAAAUGUUGUUUGCGAGAAUAAGGAAACCUGACUGUACCGUCCUGGAAUACAGCACAGGGAAGAUCCUUUGGCC